UCCGUAGGUGAACCUGCGGAAGGAUCAUUACUGAGUGAGGGCCCUCUGGGUCCAACCUCCCACCCGUGUUUAUUUACCUUGUUGCUUCGGCGGGCCCGCCUUAACUGGCCGCCGGGGGGCUUACGCCCCCGGGCCCGCGCCCGCCGAAGACACCCUCGAACUCUGUCUGAAGAUUGUAGUCUGAGUGAAAAUAUAAAUUAUUUAAAACUUUCAACAACGGAUCUCUUGGUUCCGGCAUCGAUGAAGAACGCAGCGAAAUGCGAUACGUAAUGUGAAUUGCAAAUUCAGUGAAUCAUCGAGUCUUUGAACGCACAUUGCGCCCCCUGGUAUUCCGGGGGGCAUGCCUGUCCGAGCGUCAUUGCUGCCCUCAAGCACGGCUUGUGUGUUGGGCCCCGUCCUCCGAUUCCGGGGGACGGGCCCGAAAGGCAGCGGCGGCACCGCGUCCGGUCCUCGAGCGUAUGGGGCUUUGUCACCCGCUCUGUAGGCCCGGCCGGCGCUUGCCGAUCAACCCAAAUUUUUAUCCAGGUUGACCUCGGAUCAGGUAG
rnacentral:rRNA from 1 species